rnacentral:rRNA from 1 species
GGCGUAGGGCGCGAGCGUUGUCCGGAUUUAUUGGGCGUAAAGAGCUCGUAGGCGGCUUGUUGCGUCGACCGUGAAAACCCGGGGCUCAACUUCGGGCUUGCGGUCGAUACGGGCGGGCUAGAGUUCGGUAGGGGAGACUGGAAUUCCUGGUGUAGCGGUGAAAUGCGCAGAUAUCAGGAGGAACACCGAUGGCGAAGGCAGGUCUCUGGGCAUUAACUGACGCUGAGGAGCGAAAGCAUGGGGAGCGAACAGG